rnacentral:rRNA from 1 species
UACGUAGGGUGCGAGCGUUGUCCGGAAUUAUUGGGCGUAAAGAGCUCGUAGGUGGUCUGUUGCGUCCGCUGUGAAAACUCGGGGCUUAACCCCGAGCCUGCAGUGGAUACGGGCAGACUAGAGGUAGGUAGGGGAGAAUGGAAUUCCUGGUGUAGCGGUGAAAUGCGCAGAUAUCAGGAGGAACACCAGUGGCGAAGGCGGCCCGCUGGGCAGUGGCUGACGCUGAGGCGCGACAGCGUGGGGAGCAAACAGG